rnacentral:rRNA from 1 species
UACGUAGGGACCAAGCGUUGUUCGGAUUUACUGGGCGUAAAGGGCGCGUAGGCGGCAAUUCAAGUCAGCUGUGAAAUCUCCGAGCUUAACUCGGAACGGUCAUCUGAUACUGUUUUGCUAGAGUGCAGAAAGGGCAACCGGAAUUCUUGGUGUAGCGGUGAAAUGCGUAGAUAUCAAGAGGAACACCUGAGGCGAAGGCGGGUUGCUAGGCUGACACUGACGCUGAGGCGCGAAAGCUAGGGUAGCAAACGGG